GGACAGUGUCUGGUGGGUAGUUUGACUGGGGCGGUCUCCUCCUAAAGAGUAACGGAGGAGCACGAAGGUUGGCUAAUCCUGGUCGGACAUCAGGAGGUUAGUGCAAUGGCAUAAGCCAGCUUGACUGCGAGCGUGACGGCGCGAGCAGGUGCGAAAGCAGGUCAUAGUGAUCCGGUGGUUCUGAAUGGAAGGGCCAUCGCUCAACGGAUAAAAGGUACUCCGGGGAUAACAGGCUGAUACCGCCCAAGAGUUCAUAUCGACGGCGGUGUUUGGCACCUCGAUGUCGGCUCAUCACAUCCUGGGGCUGAAGUAGGUCCCAAGGGUAUGGCUGUUCGCCAUUUAAAGUGGUACGCGAGCUGGGUUUAGAACGUCGUGAGACAGUUCGGUCCCUAUCUGCCGUGGGCGCUGGAGAACUGAGGGGGGCUGCUCCUAGUACGAGAGGACCGGAGUGGACGCAUCACUGGUGUUCGGGUUGUCAUGCCAAUGGCACUGCCCGGUAGCUAAAUGCGGAAGAGAUAAGUGCUGAAAGCAUCUAAGCACGAAACUUGCCCCGAGAUGAGUUCUCCCUGACUCCUUGAGAGUCCUGAAGGAACGUUGAAGACGACGACGUUGAUAGGCCGGGUGUGUAAGCGCAGCGAUGCGUUGAGCUAACCGGUACUAAUGAACCGUGAGGCUUAACCUUACAACGCCGAAG
rnacentral:rRNA from 2 species